AUGAAGAGGACUAAGAGAGAUGAUUGUGGCAUCAUCCCUAUUUACUACAGAAUAGUGGUCUUUGAUCUAUUUGUAUUGUAGAAGUACUCAUCUACCUGCAAUGGAGGAGUGCCAAAUACCAUCUUCGUUUUGUCUACCAAGAGGAUGACUGAGCAUCACCAUAUAUUCCAGAAAGCAGGGUGGAUAAACAUGCCUACUAAACCUGAGUUCUUGACAUUUAAUGUAGACCAAUUGGAAGCAGUGGACCCCUGCCACACAGGAGCCAGAAAAGUAAGCGUGUACAGAUGACCGAAAGCGAGUAAACUGUACCAAUGAUCAAGAGUGCAUGGUCCUCCCGUUGCCCUGAACACAAGGAACGUCAAGCGGUCUCUCAGAUAGUCAGGUUCGUGAACUUUGUAUAACUGCACCUUCUGGUUUUUGUGCAUCGAAUUUGUUCUGGCAAACUGAGUCGUUGUAACUAUGCAGAAGUUACUCGUUGUCACUUAGCUUGGUUUCAAAACAUAUCUAGCUGUGGUAUGUAGUUUUCUGUUUUCUACUUAUUUCAUAAGCUACUUCGAAGAAAGAAAGAAAAUGAAUGUUUUUAUGUUGCAUUUGGCAUUUCAGUGAUUUAUGUGGAAAGCACUUAAAUUAUUUUUUC